GACGAACGCUGGCGGCGUGCUUAACACAUGCAAGUCGAACGGAUAUUCCCUGCUUGUGUGUUGUUCUCGCGUGGCGAACUGGUUAGUAACCGGUUAGUUACCUGCUCUUUACUUUGGGAUACCUUCAGGAAUCUGAGGCUAAUACCGGAUAUAAGAUCGUGCUGUUUGGUUUGGGUUGGAGAGUUUCGGCGGUUGGGGAUGUACUCGCGGCUUAUCAGGUAGUUGGUGGGGUUGUGGCUUACCAAGGCUUUGACGGGUAGCCGGCCUGCGAUGGUGACCGGCCACAGUGGGACUGAGAUACGGCCCAGACUCCUACGGGAGGCAGCAGUGGGGAAUAGUGCACAAUGGGCGGAAGCCUGAUGCAGCAACGCCGCGUGCGGGAUGACGGCCUUCGGGUUGUAAACCGCUUUCGCCUGUGACGAAGCGUGAGUGACGGUAAUGAGUAAAGAAGCACCGGCUAACUACGUG
rnacentral:rRNA from 1 species